GCAAUGAGUCGGAUCCAUUAAGAGGGGAUUCACCACUAUGAGUGGCUCUCGAUCUGACUCAUGGUGCCAUCUACGGCUCUCAUCUAUAGUACUUAGUAAGCUCAUGAAAGCUAUUAACCUCUCAGCGUAAGUCACUCAAGUUCUUGUCGCACAUUUAGAUAUUAAGGUAAAAUAUAAACUAUAUCAUAUAUACAUCAUAUGACAAUUUAUUAUCUAAUUGAGUUUGAUGUGGCGACAAAUUGGUGGAGAUGGCUGAGAUAAUUUGUUUUCCCAUAAAUCAGUAAAGUAUAUGAAAUUAUAUCUAAAUUAUUUAUCUAAGAACUCAGUUUUCAGCGACAUUCAUGAGUCCUAGUAUAGGAUAUGCUUAGUAUUUGCAGUCAAGAGCCUUUAGUAAGCAUAGUUGAAGCAGUAACAAACAUGCAUCAAUGAAGAAUGCAUGCAAAGUAUUUGUAGUUAAUAAGAACCUUGCAUUAGGUACCGCUGAAGUAUUAGCAUUGAUGAGUUCUCAUUCAUUAGAGGACAUAAUAUAGAGCAAGAGCCUUGUAUUAGGUACCGCUGAAGUAGUAGCAUUUAUGAGUCCUUAAGAGCAAAGGGCACAAUAUUAAGAGCCUUGUAUUAGGCACUGCUAAAGUAUCUGCAUAUAUGAGUCCUUAAGAGCAAAGGGCACAAUAUUAAGAGCCUUGUAUUAGGCACUGCUAAGGUAUCUGCAUAUAUGAGUCCUUAAGAGCAAAGGGCACAAUAUUAAGAGCCUUGUAUUAAGCACUGCUAAAGUAUCUGCAUAUAUGAGUCCUUAAGAGCAAAGGGCACAAUAUUAAGAGCCUUGUAUUAGGCACUGCUAAAGUAUCUGCAUAUAUGAGUCCUUAAGAGCAAAGGGCACAAUAUUAAGAGCCUUGUAUUAGGCACUGCUAAAGUAUCUGCAUAUAUGAGUCCUUAAGAGCAAAGGGCACAAUAUUAAGAGCCUUGUAUUAGGCACUGCUAAAGUAUCUGCAUAUAUGAGUCCUUAAGAGCAAAGGGCACAAUAUUAAGAGCCUUGUAUUAGGCACUGCUAAAGUAUCAGCAUUUAUGAGUCCUUAAAGAGUAAAGGGCAUAGUACUGACCAAGAACCUUGUAAUAGGUACCGCUGAAGUAGUAGCAUUAAUGAGUCCCUGUAUGGGACAUAGCAAAGUAAGUGAACAAGAACCUUGUAUCAGGUAAUACUGAAGUUAAUAUUAGCAAAAUUGCGUCCAUUGCAGUGGACAAUAAGAAUAAAAAAGAAAUUAAAUUAAAAUGUCAAGAUCUCUUGGGUUGAAACUUUACCAACAAUAAGAGUGUUUGAUAGCAUUUAUCGGUUAAAAUAAAGGUUUCAUAUGGAAGAAAUGAAUAUUGUUUCUCUCUCUCUCUCUCUCCUUCUACAGCUCUCUCUUCGAAGGAUUGUAUUUUGUGUUAUUAUAAGAUUUUUGAGCAAAGGUGUGUGUUAUUAAGAUGAGUUCAAGGUUCCUAGAUAUCAAAUAAGAAUAAUAAUACUAAUAACCAUAAUAUAUUUGUUGUUGUACUUAGUUUAAGAUUAAUUCUAGUAAAUUAUCGAUUAUGCGAUAGAUAAUCGAUAUGUGUUUUACUAUAGUUAAUAUAACGCUAAUCGACGAUUCGUUCAUGAGCAAUCGAUUUGGUAAUCGAUAUGAAAUCUUGCACUGGUAACACUGGAGAUUUUGUUUUCAUUGCGCAAACCGUAACUUUGUUAAACUAAUUCCUGUUCCUCAUUGGCUAAACCGAAAGCUGAAUUUUCUUAUUGGUUGAUGGUGGGAGCUGCGUGUCAUUGUAAUGAGAUAUCAUUUUAAGUAUUUGAAAACCUACUUAUUAAACUAAAUUGUUUAUUUUUGUUGGACUAGGAAAAUAAAGUUUUUACCGCCAUGCCGGCAGCGUUCCCAGUAUCCCAGUAGGAUUCGAACAAGUUUGCGUGUAAAGUAUAUAAGAUUCCAGGAAAGUAAGCUACGCAUAGUGAAAUACAGCGAUAUACUUAAGAUAGCAGCCGGUAUUUUGGUUAUAUUGAUGAUAUCAAUACUUUUAUAUAAAAGAAGCCUCGAGGUAAGCAACAAUAAAUGAAUUGUAUUGUAAACUCAUUGGCUAGAGCUGUAAUGUAAAUAUGGAAAGGCCAAUUACAAAUUGAUAGCUUUAGAUAAUUUCCAUCAUCGUUUGAGGAAACUUUAUUUAAUAAUCUGUACAAACAAGUCACUUUCGGCCAUUAGUGUAAAGUUAUGAGUAUUACGAGUUAAUAUCGCCAUUUUGUUUUGGGUUAUUUGCAGGGAGCAAGUUUAUGAAUACUUGCUCAUUGUAAUUUCACAAAAUGGAAAAUUUCUUGCGAGAUCGAUUGGAACUAAGAAUAAAAAGACUUGAUGAAAACUUAGAGAGCGCAGAGGCGCUAAUAUUAAAGUGUAAUUCCGGAACGGACGUCAUGGUACAAGAAGUAAUGAAAUUACAAUUAAGUAUGAAACAAUCUCUGAAUAGUAUCCAGUUGGACAUUGACAAAUAUAUUGUAACAAAUAAUGAAAAUACAGAUAUCUUACGCUCUGCACUCGAGAAGCAGAUGAAAGCAGAGGAGCUUCUUAUAGAAUUGGAAUUAAUUCUCAAUAUUCAUUCUAAUUCUCAUAAUAAAAUCUCAACAAAAACUGUGAAACUUCCUAGAAUUGAGCUGCUCAAAUUUGAUGGAGAUAUUCUGAAAUGGACGGAGUUCUGGGACCGGUUCACGGCCAAUGUACACUCCCAAAACUUAGACGAUGUCGAAAAGUUGGCUUAUCUGAUAAGUUUACUGGAAAAGGAGGCCAAGGAGGCAGUCCAAGGCCUAACAAUGACAAAUGCUAACUACCAAGUAGCAAUAGACACACUUAAGACCAGAUAUGGGAGUACUCAACAAGUAAUUGAUUCGCAUUAUGAAGCCCUAAAUAGAACUAGUCGCUGCGAAUAUACAGCUGAAGACUGUAGGAAGACAUUAAAUAAAAUCGAGAACCAUUUAAGAGUACUUUCAUCACUAGGGGAGAAUAUAGAGAGCAAUUCAUUUAGGAGCAUUAUAUUAGACAAAUUUCCAGAGAAGGUAAUCUACGAACUUAACUUAUUAUUAGUGGAUGACCAAACAAUAGCGGGGAUCAGAAAUACAUUAAACAAAAUUGUGGUGGCAUUGGAGAAGUCUAAGACUAAUCCACCUCUACAAAAGGACCAUACUGCCACCACAGAUGCCUUCAUUUCAAUAGAAAACAGACCUCGAUACCACAGAGGGAAAAGGAUACACACACAGACAACAUCCCUUCACAAAAUGGAUAACACACCCAGGAACAACAAUAGGAAAAGACCAGCUAAGUCUAAUACUGACAGAGAAAUGAAGAAACCCAAGUUGAGUUGCAUAUUUUGCUCGGGACCGCACUUUAAUGAUACAUGCCCAUCUUAUAAGACACCUGAUGACAGAAAGAAGAAACUAUCAAACCGAUGUUUUAUGUGCUUAAAGUUAGGGCAUCGUGCACAUAAAUGCAGGAGACAUAAGAAAUGCUAUCACUGCAAGGGCAACCACAACCGAGCCCUAUGCCCAAAGAGAGAACCAGGUAAGAGUGAACCACACCAUGCUGUUACGCUGAACUCAACUGGCCAUUGUUUUAAGCGGAAAUCUUUUUUACAGACUGCAACAGCGCAGGUGGUUCACAAAACCAAGACCCUAAAUUGUAGACUCCUUCUUGACUCCGGUAGUUCAAGAAGCUAUAUUACCACGGACUUGGCAAAACACCUGGAUUUGACAUCAGCAAAUGUAGACUAUUUACUGAUAUUUAUUUUUGGAACCGACAAGCCUAAUGAGACUUUGAGUCCUUGCACAGAUAUUACUAUCAAGACAAAAAGAGGAGUAGAAAAAAGUAUCCAUGUGAAUGUUGUUCCUCGCAUUACUGAUAGGAUACCAAUUCAAGAGAUUCCUAAAAUAGAUAUUGUGGAUAUACCAGCAGAUAGUUACUCAAAGAAUCAAUCAGUAAACAUGCUCAUUGGUAACGAUUACUACUUCUCCUUUAUCAGGAAUAACAAGAUACAGAUUGACACCGAUCUUUACCUAAUAGAUACAGAUUUCGGAUGGAUCAUGUCUGGACACCAUGAUAAGGACAAUCAAGAGAAUGAUAACAUCUUAGCAGUUGUUACCUACUACCAAAACAAUGUAGGAUGUAAGUGUUACACAGAACCUGACCUCCCUUUAAGACAAUCGGAUUUAAAGUUCCUUUGGAGUUUAGAGAACAUAGGAAUAACUGACUUAGUAAAGGGCACUAGAGAGGAAGAGGCAGUUAGAAACUUUAAUGACACUGUCAAGUAUCAAGAAGGUCGUUACUAUGUAAAAUGGCCAUGGACAACAUACCCACCACAUGUACCUACUAACUACGGGUUAGCAUACGGAAGACUCAAGGGAUUAGUACAGCGAUUGGAUAAGCCCACACUGCAAGAAUAUAAUGAAAUAUUGAUGGAACAACUUAAGGCCGAGAUAAUAGAAGUUGUCCAAGUGGAUUCAGAUGUUCGAAACCAGUCUGUGCCUCCAAUUAACUACCUGCCACAUCAUAUAGUAAAACAGAGUACCAAGCGCGGUCGUAUAGUAUAUGACGGUUCAGCAAGGUUAAAGGAUCAGCAAAGCCUUAACGAGUGCUUGUAUAAAGGACCUUGUAUGCUUCAAGACCUGACGUCUCUGCUCCUGAAUUUUAGAAUACAUAAAAUAGGUAUAAUUGCAGAUGUUGAAAAGGCCUUUUUGCAAAUUGGUCUACAGGAAGAAGACAGGGAAGUGACAAGAUUCUUAUGGCUAAAGGACAUCAACAAACCACUAUCCGAUGAAAACAUACUACACCUAAGAUUUUGCAGAGUGCCUUUCGGAAUUAUUUCCAGCCCUUUCUUACUGACGGCAACUAUACGUUACCACAUUUCUCAAAAGGAUAGCAUGCUACUCAAGAAGGUAGCAAAUAAGUGUUAUGUUGAUAAUUUGGUGACUGGCACAGACACUUUAGAAGAAGCUGUCCAACUAUAUGAUGAAUCCAAGAAGGCAUUCGAAGAGCUCUCUAUGAACCUAAGAGAUUGGACAUCAAAUGAUAAAGCUUUCAGUCGAAAAGUACCACAAAAAUAUAGAGCUAAAGAGUCAGACAAAAUCAAAGUCUUAGGGUUGCUGUGGAAUAAAGAGCAAGAUGUACUUACUUUGAACAUAAAUAAAGAAGUGUUUACUGAUAGAUCAACAGACAAAGUUACAAAAAGAGAAGUUUUAAGUAUAUUAGCAUCAUUAUAUGAUCCUUGCGGUAUAGUCUCUCCACUACUUAUGCCAAUAAAACUGUUUCUUCAGGAAUUAUGGAGAAAAGACUAUAAAUGGGAUUCACCAGUAUCGCAGGAGCUGUUACUAAAGUGGAAGAAAAUUGAGAAGAACCUAAGUGAUAUAAAAGAAGUUGAAGUACCACGAUAUGUUGAGGCAAAUGUCAAUAAAGGAUCUGAAAAUGAGUUACAUUGCUUUGCAGAUGCAGCUAAAGACUCAUACGCAGCUGUUGUAUACUUACGGUCAAGUGACGGCUCCAACAUUAAGACAUCAUUUUUAUUGUCAAAAAAUAGAGUUGCUCCAUUGGAUAAGAAAAUGAAAGAUGGUAAGAAAACUGAAAGAAAAAUGACUAUUCCACAAUUAGAACUACUCGGCUGUGUUAUUGGAAACCGCUUACUGACAUACAUAAAAGAGACUAUAGAACUCCCCAUUACUAGACAAUACCUGUGGACAGACAGUUUAGUGGUUCUCAACUGGAUUCACUCGAAUAAGCUUUUACCACCAUUCAUAGCCAACAGAACAGAAGAAAUAAAGCGAAAUGUUGGCUUAGAAACAUACUAUGUAAAUACUAAAGAGAAUCCAGCUGAUAUUGCAACGCGACCUGAACUUUGGAUUCAAAAGAAGAGUGUAUGGCUAGAAGGACCAGCCUUCUUGUCCAAAGAAAAGAGUAAAUGGCCAAAAGAUAUUCAUCUUAAAGGCCAUCAAGAAGUAGCAUCUUUUCCUGCAGUAUUAGAGGGUCCAAAGGAUCAGUCUUCAGAUAUUGACAUACCUUUGGAAUCGGUUAAUGAUAAUGAACAAAGGUCUGACCAGAAUGAAGUAACAUCUCAGGUUAAAGAAAUAAAAAACCUGCAACAAAGAUUCUUUCCAGAUGAAAUAAAAGGCAAACGGACAGACCUCAGUAGAAAUCUUGGGCUAUUUACAGAUGUUGACGGAUUGUUGAGAUGCAAAGGACGAAUGAUGCAUGCUAAUUGGUCGUAUGACAUGAGGUAUCCAGUUCUUUUGCCUAGGGACUGCGAAUUCACAAAGAAAGUAGUAAAAGAAAUACAUGAGAAGAAUUACCAUGUAGGAGCAUCUCAUACUCUCGACUUAGUUCGCCAGCAAUACUGGAUUCCAAAAGGAAGACCGGUUGUGGAGAGAAUACUAAGAAAAUGUACUCAAUGUGUAAAGCACGGUGGAGGCCCGUACCCACUACCUCCAACACCGGCUUUACCAGCAGAACGUGCGAAUUAUAGCACACCAUUCACUUAUACCGGACUUGAUUAUUUUGGACCUGUCUAUGUGGCAACUGAAAAUGGACAGCAAAAGAGAUGGAUUUGUCUUAUGACUUGUUUAGCUGUAAGAGCAAUACAUUUGGAAGUUGUUAAGAAUUUGACUGCAGAUGAGUGUAUUAUGGCACUGAGAAGAUUUAUGUCAACAAGAGGAGUACCAGUAGCCAUAGUCUCAGACAAUGCACUAUACUUCAAAUUGAGCUCUGAAAUCCUGAAGAGUGACUACUGCAUCAAGAAUAACAUCAAAUGGAAAUUUAUUCCCCAAUUAGCGCCAUGGCAUGGUGCGUUUUAUGAAAGAUUAGUGGGGUUAGUGAAGCAUUGUAUGAAGAGAACUUUGGAGAAACUGCUACUGAAUGACACACAACUUCUUACUGUCAUUAAGGAGAUUGAGGCUGUUGUUAACAGUCGGCCUUUGACACGAGUAGGUCCUGACAUGGAUAUAGUUCUGAGACCAUGUGACUUUCUAUCUCUAGGACGUUGUCUAAACUUGGAGAUAUCAGAGAGUUAUAGACCUGACCAAGAUGACACUCGGGCGAAACAGAACUUGUUAGACAGUUGGAAAAGAGGUCAGAACAUGUUGAAGCACUUCAAGAACAUGUUUAUAAAUCAAUACUUGACAAGCCUAAGAGAAAGGUACCAACAUAGUCAUAAACAACCAAGGGUGAAAUCACACAAGGAACCGAGUGUUGGAGAUCUAGUUCAGAUAAAGGGCGAAUCUAAAAAUAGAAACACCUGGAGGGUUGGCAAAAUCGUACAACUGAUAAGAGGUUCCGAUGGAUACUGUAGAGUGGCUCAAGUUCAAGUAGGAGGAAGUAUUUUCACAAGGUCUAUCGGGCACCUGUAUCCCUUAGAAUUGGAAGAGCCACCUUCGGCACCAGUAGAGACGAUUGAGACGGUAGAGCCUCAGCCAAGCGUUAUAGACACUAUACAAAACGGACUUGGUACUACUGAUAUAGAUGAGAUGCUAGAAGAGACUGAGCAAAGAGAAAUCUCGACAGAAAGUCAAGGAAGUGCAGAUAUAGUUUCUAAUCAUGACACAGAAGAGAGAGAGAGUAACACAGAAAAUUCUGAGGAGAGGAUGUCAACUACAUCACAACAACCAGAAGAGGAUAGUUUAAAGACUUCUCAUCCAACCGAUAUCAUUAGUGAUGUACCCGAUAUAGAGACGCAAGAAGAGAGUCAACCACAAGAGGUGACGAGGCGAGCUGCGGCUAUUCGAGCACGAGAAAAGAUCGCACAAUGGACUCGUCAGCUUUUCGCCUUUUUGUAAAUCAGCCUCGUAGCUGGGAGUGUCGCGAAUCCACGCGAUUCCUAAUAAGCAGUUAUGGAAGAACACAUGAUGAAGGAUUUGAAUAGAGAUGUAGUAGAAGUUAAUUAGUUUGAAGAUUGUGUGAGUGCUGUAAGCCAGAGAGAUAAUGUAUUAAGCCAGAAGGAUCCCCCU